rnacentral:sRNA from 1 species
AGCAAGAACAUGCACACAAUAAAUGCGCAAAAGCGGUCGUUUGUGC